CCCAGACUCCUACGGGAGGCAGCAGUGGGGAAUAUUGCACAAUGGGGGGAACCCUGAUGCAGCGACGCCGCGUGGGUGAAGGAGUACUUCGGUACGUAAAGCCCUAUCAGCAGGAAAGAAAAUGACGGUACCUGACUAAGAAGCCCCGGCUAACUACGUGCCAGCAGCCGCGGUAAUACGUAGGGGGCAAGCGUUAUCCGGAUUUACUGGGUGUAAAGGGAGCGUAGACGGCAGUGCAAGUCCGGAGUGAAAGCCCGGGGCUCAACCCUGGGACUGCUCUGGAAACUGUAAAGCUGGAGUGCGGGAGGGGCAGGCGGAAUUCCUGGUGUAGCGGUGAAAUGCGUAGAUAUCAGGAGGAACACCGACGGCGAAGGCGGCCUGCUGGACCGUAACUGACGUUGAGGCUCGAAAGCGUGGGGAGCAAACAGGAUUAGAUACCCGUGUA
rnacentral:rRNA from 1 species